rnacentral:piRNA from 1 species
UNGUACUAGAACUCAGGAGCUGGAUGGA